GCCUGGGUAGCUCAGUCAGUUGAGCUUCUGACUUCAGCUCAGGUCAUGAUUUUACGGUUUGUGAGUUCAAGCCCCGCAUUGGGCU
rnacentral:tRNA from 1 species